UGGGGAAUAUUGCACAAUGGGCGCAAGCCUGAUGCAGCCAUGCCGCGUGUAUGAAGAAGGCCUUCGGGUUGUAAAGUACUUUCAGCGGGGAGGAAAGUGUUGAGGUUAAUAACCUCAGCAAUUGACGUUACCCGCAGAAGAAGCACCGGCUAACUCCGUGCCAGCAGCCGCGGUAAUACGGAGGGUGCAAGCGUUAAUCGGAAUUACUGGGCGUAAAGCGCACGCAGGCGGUCUGUCAAGUCGGAUGUGAAAUCCCCGGGCUCAACCUGGGAACUGCAUUCGAAACUGGCAGGCUAGAGUCUUGUAGAGGGGGGUAGAAUUCCAGGUGUAGCGGUGAAAUGCGUAGAGAUCUGGAGGAAUACCGGUGGCGAAGGCGGCCCCCUGGACAAAGACUGACGCUCAGGUGCGAAAGCGUGGGGAGCAAACA
rnacentral:rRNA from 1 species